rnacentral:rRNA from 1 species
ACGGGAGGCAGCAGUGGGGAAUAUUGGACAAUGGGGGAAACCCUGAUCCAGCGACGCCGCGUGAGUGAAGAAGUAUUUCGGUAUGUAAAGCUCUAUCAGCAGGGAAGAUAAUGACGGUACCUGACUAAGAAGCCCCGGCUAACUACGUGCCAGCAGCCGCGGUAAUACGUAGGGGGCAAGCGUUAUCCGGAUUUACUGGGUGUAAAGGGUGUGUAGGCGGCAAGGCAAGUCAGAAGUGAAAUGCCGGGGCUCAACUCCGGAGCUGCUUUUGAAACUGCCAUGCUGGAGUCCAGGAGAGGCAGGCGGAAUUCCUAGUGUAGCGGUGAAAUGCGUAGAUAUUAGGAAGAACACCAGUGGCGAAGGCGGCCUGCUGGACUGGAACUGACGCUGAGGCACGAAAGCGUGGGGAGCAAACAGGAUUAGAUACCCUGGUA